GCCCAAAGUCGCACGUGCCUGUGGGUGUCCGCCGACCCUCGAUUAGGUGAGGUUAUCGGUAAGGUACCUGGAACUAACCCCUCCAGUCGCUAUUCCGGCCAACCGGGAAAUGCGAGGACAUCUUGAAGCAACGACGGUGCGGGCCUUUCUGGUGUCUGCCGGCUCUCCAACAGCCGGGGUUACUGAAGAGGCACACCUUCAUUGCCGGAAGUGCGGUUGGGUUAUUCCCUCCAAUCCAUGGCAGACAAAGCCGAAUCCUAGCCUUUGCGGGCUUUGAUUCAAAUUCGCGCAUCGAGCGCAUGCAUGGUU
rnacentral:sRNA from 1 species